CAAAAACCAGAAGAGAUGGUAAUUUCAAUAGAAGCCGUGAUGCUAACAGUCCCAUCUCAAGAAGCCAGACAAACGGGACUCACAUACAGGAAGAGGUUUGUGCGGGAGUCUGCGGGUCCUCGUGAGUAGGCCGUGCUUCUGGAAGGGUUCUCCAGGCCGGUGGAGCUCCCACCGGAUGCUCUUGCAUCUCUUCCACCUGGAACGUGAAAUUCUUCAGUCCUUCCUGCUUUACUUUAUUGAGGUACCGGGAUCAUUUGCAGUUCUGAUCAAUGAGCUUUUUGCAGAACUCUAUUCCAUAACAUGACCAAACAAAGGCUUCAAGUCCUAGCAGGACCAGUGAAUACUGCAGUUUCAUUGGUGGGGUCUCCAUCUUGGCAAGCGCAUCCCACUUAUUACAACAGAGUGAGCACAUGCAGGGGGCGCUGGGCACUCCGCACUGCACUGUGCCGCACAGCUCACAGCAGUGCCUCACUGUUGUCAGUGGGUCAAGAACAUGCUGGAAGAUUCGUUAUGUGUAAGAACUUCUAGAAAAUAGAUAUUUAAGCUAUGAAAGUAAUUAGAGCUUGCUGUAAUAA